rnacentral:rRNA from 1 species
CCGAUGGAGGGGGAUAACUACUGGAAACGGUAGCUAAUACCGCAUAACGUCGCAAGACCAAAGAGGGGGACCUUCGGGCCUCUUGCCAUCGGAUGUGCCCAGAUGGGAUUAGCUAGUAGGUGGGGUAACGGCUCACCUAGGCGCGAUCCCUAGCUGGUCUGAGAGGAUGACCAGCCACACUGGAACUGAGACACGGUCCAG